AUGACUGAUCAAGAUCAAGCGAUGGCGACUGCUAUUGGUAUGGUGUUUCUAGGUAUAACACACAGAUGUUGCAAGUGGCAUGUCCUGAAGAUUGCGAAGGAAAAACUUGGUAUGUUGUUUAGGACAAGAGAGGAUUUUGAGAAAGAAUUCUAUUAUUGUGUGAAUGGGAAGGACACUGUAGAAGAAUUUGAGGAAGCAUGGAAGCAGAUGGUGUUGAAGCAUGAGCUUGUUGAGCACACACAUCUAAUUAACAUGUGGGACUGCGGAAAGACUUGGGCACCGGCUACUUCAAAAAGAAUUUAUUUCCCUUCACUGGAACGACUGGCAAUUCAGAAGGUUUGA
rnacentral:rRNA from 1 species